AAACUGGGAUUAGAUACCCCACUAUGCCCCACCGUAAACUUUUAAUUACAUCUACAUCGCCCGGGAACUACGAGCAAAGCUUAAAACCCAAAGGACUUGACGGUACCCCACAUCCAUCUAGAGGAGCCUGUCCUAUAAUCGAUAAUCCCCGUUUAACCUCACCAUUUUUAGCCUAUACAGCCUGUAUACCUCCGUCGCCAGCUUACCACGUGAGCGACCCCCAGUAAGCCUAAUGAUUUUAAACCAACACGUCAGGUCAAGGUGCAGCAAAUAAAAUGGAAAGAGAUGGGCUACACUCUCUAAUUUAGAGCAUACGAAAGACUAUCUAUGAAACCUAGUCAGAAGGAGGAUUUAGCAGUAAAAAGAAACUAGAGAGCUCUUUUUAACACGGCACUGGGGUGUGUACACACCGCCCGUCACCCUCUUCGAAGUCAAUAAAAAAGUUCAUAACACAUUUUAACCAAAGAGAAGAGACAAGUCGUAACAUGGUAAGUAUACCGGAAGGUGUGCUUGGAAA
rnacentral:rRNA from 1 species